CUACGGGUCGCACCAGUGAGGAAUAUUGCACAAUGGGGGGAACCCUGAUGCAGCAACGCCGCGUGGAGGAUGACGCAUUUCGGUGUGUAAACUCCUUUUAUAUGUCAAGAAAAUGACGGUAGCAUAUGAAUAAGCACCGGCUAACUCCGUGCCAGCAGCCGCGGUAAUACGGAGGGUGCAAGCGUUACUCGGAAUCACUGGGCGUAAAGGACGCGUAGGCGGGUUGGAAAGUCAGGUGUGAAAUCCUACAGCUUAACUGUAGAACUGCACUUGAAACUUCUAAUCUAGAGUAUGGGAGGGGGAGAUGGAAUUAGUGGUGUAGGGGUAAAACCCGUAGAUAUCACUAGGAAUACCUAAAGCGGAGGCGAUCUCCUGGAACAUUACUGACGCUAAGGCGUGAAAGCGUGGGGAGCAAACAGGAUUAGAUACCCCCGUAGUC
rnacentral:rRNA from 1 species